CCUAGGGAAAAGCCUGGGAGAGAACAGAUGUUUUCUGAUAAGCUGUAAGCAUGCACAGAGGGCGUCCAGGAAAAAGUCUCUCCAAAAGGAAAACCUGGAAUAGAACAGAAAAGGGAAGUGGCUGGGGGUUUGGGGAAGCAGGGAGGGAGGGAGGUGCCAGCACAGCCAGAUGUUUCUGUAGCUGUCCCUGGUGUCAGGGAGCAGUGUGGCUGGGGCUCAUGCUGCUGUCCCUGCAGCUGCACCCACAUUUGGGUGCGGAGCGUGGAGUUCCCCAUGGACACAGGCGAGGCAGCAAAAAUAACUCCUGAAAGAAUGGACUGCGUCCUGACCAUUGUUUUAACAUUUAGGUAUGCAGGAAUGGCACAGAGCUGGACUGGGAAAAAGGCUGGAAUCAUCUUUGCAGGUCAGCCAGGAAUUUUUUCCAGGCUGAACAAUAUAGGUUGGGUUUUUCCCUUUC